rnacentral:rRNA from 1 species
CACGUAGGGCGCAAGCGUUGUCCGGAAUCAUUGGGCGUAAAGAGCUCGUAGGCGGCCUGUUGCGUCCGCUGUGAAAUCCCGGGGCUUAACCCCGGGCGUGCAGUGGAUACGGGCUGGCUGGAGGCAGGCAGGGGAGAACGGAAUUCCCGGUGUAGCGGUGAAAUGCGCAGAUAUCGGGAGGAACACCGGUGGCGAAGGCGGUUCUCUGGGCCUGUACUGACGCUGAGGAGCGAAAGCGUGGGGAGCGAACAGG